UACGUAGGGCGCAAGCGUUGUCCGGAAUUAUUGGGCGUAAAGAGCUCGUAGGCGGUUUGUCACGUCGGAUGUGAAAGCCCGGGGCUUAACUCCGGGUCUGCAUUCGAUACGGGCAGACUAGAGUGUGGUAGGGGAGAUCGGAAUUCCUGGUGUAGCGGUGAAAUGCGCAGAUAUCAGGAGGAACACCGGUGGCGAAGGCGGAUCUCUGGGCCAUUACUGACGCUGAGGAGCGAAGGCGUGGGGAGCGAACAGG
rnacentral:rRNA from 1 species